rnacentral:rRNA from 1 species
GAUGAACGCUGGCGGCGUGCCUAAUACAUGCAAGUCGAGCGAACGGACGAGAAGCUUGCUUCUCUGAUGUUAGCGGCGGACGGGUGUGUAACACGUGGAUAAUCUACUUAUAAGACUGGGAUAACUUCGGGAAACCGUAGCUAAUACCGGAUAAUAUUUUGAACCGUAUGGUUCAAAAGUGAAAGACGGUCUUGCUGUCACUUAUAGAUGGUUCCGCGCUGCAUUAGCUAGUUGGUAAGGUAACGGCUUACCAAGGCAACGAUUCAUAGCCGACCGGAGAGAGUGAUCGACGACCCUAGAGCGGGAACACGGACCAGAGUCCUGAGAGAGGCAGCAGAAGGGUAUGUUCCGCAGCAGUCGGGAGCCUUGCGGAACAGGGCCACGCGAGAGGUAGAGAUCUCCGGAUCGUAAUACUCUGUUAUUAGGGAAGAACAUAUGUCUAAGUAGCUGUACACAUCUUGACGGUACCUAAUCAGAAAGCCACGGCUAACUACGUG